CAGUAGCCGCGGUAAUACAGAGGGUGCGAGCGUUAAUCGGAUUUACUGGGCGUAAAGCGUGCGUAGGCGGCUUCUUAAGUCGGAUGUGAAAUCCCUGAGCUUAACUUAGGAAUUGCAUUCGAUACUGGGAAGCUAGAGUAUGGGAGAGGAUGGUAGAAUUCCAGGUGUAGCGGUGAAAUGCGUAGAGAUCUGGAGGAAUACCGAUGGCGAAGGCAGCCAUCUGGCCUAAUACUGACGCUGAGGUACGAAAGCAUGGGGAGCAAACAGGAUUAGAUACCCUCGUAGUCCCUGUCUCUUAUAC
rnacentral:rRNA from 1 species